UACGUAGGGUGCGAGCGUUAAUCGGAAUUACUGGGCGUAAAGCGUGCGCAGGCGGUUAUGUAAGACAGAUGGGAAAUCCCCGGGCUCAACCUGGGAACUGCAUUUGUGACUGCAUAGCUAGAGUACGGCAGAGGGGGAUGGAAUUCCGCGUGUAGCAGUGAAAUGCGUAGAUAUGCGGAGGAACACCGAUGGCGAAGGCAAUCCCCUGGGCCUGUACUGACGCUCAUGCACGAAAGCGUGGGGAGCAAACAGG
rnacentral:rRNA from 1 species